AUAUCAAUAAGCGGAGGAAAAGAAACUAACAAGGAUUCCCCUAGUAACGGCGAGUGAAGAGGGGAAGAGCCCAAGAUUGAAAGCUGGCGUCUUCGGCGUCCGCAUUGUAAUCUCAAGAAGUGUUUUCCGCUUCGGACCAUGCCUAAGUCCCUUGGAAAAGGGCAUCAUAGAGGGUGAUAAUCCCGUACAUGGCAUGGAGCGCCCGAAGCUUUGUGAUACGCUUUCUAAGAGUCGAGUUGUUUGGGAAUGCAGCUCAAAAUGGGUGGUAAAUGCCAUCUAAGGCUAAAUAUUGGGGAGAGACCGAUAGCGAACAAGUACAGUGAUGGAAAGAUGAAAAGAACUUUGAAAAGAGAGUUAAACAGUACUGAAAUUGCCAAAAGGGAAGGGUAGGAGGUCAGAGAUGCUUCGGGAUUCGCCUUGCUUUUGCUUGGUGUUUUUCCCAAAUUGCAGCAACGUCGUUUUGGGCGCUGGAGAAGGGUGGAAGGAACGUGGCACCCCUCGGGGUGUGUUAUAGCCUUCUACUGGAUACGUGACCGAGACCGAGGACAGCAGCGUACUCGCAGAGCGGGC
rnacentral:rRNA from 1 species